GGAGAUUUGAUGCACCACACCCCAUUUUUGUGUAUGCAGCAUUUACAUGUGUCUCAAAGGUACAUGUAGCUCUUAAUACAGUUUGUGAGCAAGAGCUGCAUAGUCUUCAUUCACUCAUUAUUUUGCUGCCUGUUUAAUCAAUUCCCUGUACUGAGAAUCUAGGACUAACAAAUAAUAAAGAGAUGAGUUGAAGGAUGGAGAUCUCUGCUCUGUGAGUGGCCUUGGAGUGUGUGCCCCGUGCAUGAAAGGACUGCAUAUGUUUGGUUGGAUUAUCUGAUGUGACUUGUGCUCUCAAUCUGAGCAACACCAGCCAAUACAAACCAGUGCCGAUUGUAGGGGACAGUCACAACGAGGUGUAAUUAAAUUAGAAACCAGCUGGAAAGUAAGUGUAUGGACAAAUGUGACGUGACUGGAAAAUUGCUGUCGUCUCGUAGAACCAAUGCUGAUAUUUGGAAAAAUAAGUUUAAACUGAUCAGCACUGGCUCUACAGUAAAUGUUUUUUAAGUUUGGUACAUGGUAAAAAGGGUUGAUUUAUGCAAUAAAAGUAUUCAGAGUUUUCUAAAAGAAUUUCAUAACUUAUGGUUAAUGGCUUUUUAGGUCUGUAACACGGCUGUCCAGCUGCAGAUUUAUCUAUUGUUUUUGUGUUAGAAAUGGGUUUGGUCAAUAAGAAGGAUAAACAUGACCAGAAGGUAGAUCAGAUCCUGACCACACAGAGCUUGCUCUUGUAUGAGCUCCAUGCUGAUGGAAGAUCCUGACCACACAGAGCUUGCUCCUGUAUGAGCUCCAUGCAGAUGGAAGAUUCGAUCUGGCCCAUACAGAGCUUUCUCCUGUAUGAGCUCCAUGCUGAUGGAAGAUCCGAUCUGGACCACACAGAGAUUGCUUCUUGAAAGGGUAUGUGCUCCAUGCUGAUGGAAGAUCCGAUCUGAACCACACAGAGCUCCGUACUGAUAUAAAUUGAGAAGAUAAAGACAAUGAAUUCUGCCUGUAAAAUACCCAUUACAUUCUAAUUUAAGAGGCCUGUUACUACCUUCUUUUAUUUAUGUGGCAAUGGAAAUUCGAAUGUGGAAAUCAAUAGUGUUCAGUUGGCUUCUAAAAACACAUUAGUGCAGAGAGGGGAGA